rnacentral:ncRNA from 1 species
ACAAAAGAGGGGUAAACCUGCAGAAAUGCAGGGACACAAAGCUACAAGUCUAAGUUGAUUCAGUAGUCUGGGGAGUAUUGGAUAUAUUGAAGAUAUAAGAUGGUUGAGUUGCAGAU